AUUGAACGCUGGCGGCAGGCCUAACACAUGCAAGUCGAGCGGAUGAAGGGAGCUUGCUCCUGGAUUCAGCGGCGGACGGGUGAGUAAUGCCUAGGAAUCUGCCUGGUAGUGGGGGAUAACGUCCGGAAACGGGCGCUAAUACCGCAUACGUCCUGAGGGAGAAAGUGGGGGAUCUUCGGACCUCACGCUAUCAGAUGAGCCUAGGUCGGAUUAGCUAGUUGGUGGGGUAAAGGCCUACCAAGGCGACGAUCCGUAACUGGUCUGAGAGGAUGAUCAGUCACACUGGAACUGAGACACGGUCCAGACUCCUACGGGAGGCAGCAGUGGGGAAUAUUGGACAAAGGGCGAAAGCCUGAUCCAGCCAUGCCGCGUGUGUGAAGAAGGUCUUCGGAUUGUAAGGCACUUUAAGUUGGGAGGAAGGGCAGUAAGUUAAUACCUUGCUGUUUUGACGUUACCAACAGAAUAAGCACCGGCUAACUUCGUG
rnacentral:rRNA from 1 species